ensembl:lncRNA
AAAAAAAAAAAAAAGAAUGAAUUUUGGCGCAAAAAAACGCCUUACUAUACUAUGUCGAAAGAAAAUGGGAUUUUUCAAACAUGUUGUAAAAACGUGCCAUAUGAUGAAAUAAUGUAAAGGAGGCCGUGAAAAACACUCCAGAAAGGUUUACUUUGAAAAAAAAAAUCAGUAUGAAUUUUGGCGCAAAAAAAACGCCUUACUAUACUAUGUCGAAAGAAAAUGGGAUUUUUCAAACAUGUUGUAAAAACGUGCCAUAUGAUGAAAUAAUGUAAAGGAGGCCGUGAAAAACACUCCAGAAAGGUUUUCUUUGAAAAAAAAAUCAUCAUGAAUUUUGGCGCAAAAAAAACGCCUUACUAUACUAUGUCGAAAAAAAAUGCGAUUUUUCAAACAUGUUUUAAAAACGUGUUAUAUGAUGAAAUAAUGUAAAGGAGGCUGUGAAAAACACUCCAGAAAGGUUUUCUUUGAAAAAAAAUCAUCAUGAAUUUUGGAGCAAAAAAAACACCUUACUAUACUAUGUCGAAAAAAAAUGCAAUUUUUUAAACAGGUUGUAAAAACAUGUCAUAUGAUGAAAUAAUGUAAAGGAGGCCGUGAAAAACACUCCAGAAAGGUUUUCUUUCAAAAAAAAAAUCAGCAUGAAUUUUGGCGCAAAAAAAACUGCCGUACUAUACUAUGUUGAAAAAAAUGCGAUUUUUCAAACAUGUUUUAAAAACGUGCCAUAUGAUGAAAUAAUGUAAAGGAGGCCAUGAAAAACACUCCAGAAAGGUUUUCUUUGAAAAAAAAAUCAGUAUGAAUUUUGGCGCAAAAAAACGCCUUACUAUACUAUGUCGAAAGAAAAUGGGAUUUUUCAAACAUGUUGUAAAAACGUGCCAUAUGAUGAAAUAAUGUAAAGGAGGCCGUGAAAAACACUCCAGAAAGGUUUUCUUUGAAAAAAAAAUCAUCAUGAAUUUUGGCGCAAAAAAAACGCCUUACUAUACUAUGUCGAAAAAAAAUGCGAUUUUUCAAACAUGUUUUAAAAACGUGUUAUAUGAUGAAAUAAUGUAAAGGAGGCCGUGAAAAACACUCCAGAAAGGUUUUCUUUGAAAAAAAAAUCAGAAUGAAUUUUGGCGCAAAAAAAACACCUUACUAUACUAUGUCGAAAAAAAAUGCAAUUUUUUAAACAUGUUGAAAAACGUGUCAUAUGAUGAAAUAAUGUAAAGGAGGCCGUGAAAAACACUCCAGAAAGGUUUUCUUUCAAAAAAAAAUCAGCAUGAAUUUUGGCGCAAAAAUAACACCUUACUAUGUCGAAAAAAAAUGCAAUUUUUUAAACAGGUUGUAAAAACAUGUCAUAUGAUGAAAUAAUGUAAAGGAGGCCGUGAAAAACACUCCAGAAAGGUUUUCUUUCAAAAAAAAAAUCAGCAUGAAUUUUGGCGCAAAAAAAACUGCCGUACUAUACUAUGUUGAAAAAAAUGCGAUUUUUCAAACAUGUUUUAAAAACGUGCCAUAUGAUGAAAUAAUGUAAAGGAGGCCAUGAAAAACACUCCAGAAAGGUUUUCUUUGAAAAAAAAAAAUCAGAAUGAAUUUUGGCGCAAAAAAACGCCUUACUAUACUAUGUCGAAAGAAAAUGGGAUUUUUCAAACAUGUUGUAAAAACGUGCCAUAUGAUGAAAUAAUGUAAAGGAGGCCGUGAAAAACACUCCAGAAAGGUUUUCUUUGAAAAAAAAAUCAUCAUGAAUUUUGGCGCAAAAAAAACGCCUUACUAUACUAUGUCGAAAAAAAAUGGGAUUUUUCAAACAUGUUGUAAAAACGUGCCAUAUGAUGAAAUAAUGUAAAGGAGGGCGUGAAAAACACUCCAGAAAGGUUUUCUUUCAAAAAAAAAUCAGCAUGAAUUUUGGCGCAAAAAUAACCGCCGUACUAUACUAUGUUAAAAAAAAAUGCGAUUUUUCAAACAUGUUGUAAAAACGUGUCAUAUGAUGAAAUAAUGUAAAGGAGGCCGUGAAAAACACUCCAGAAAGGUUUUCUUUGAAAAAAAAAAAUCAGAAUGAAUUUUGGCGCAAAAAAAACGCCUUACUAUACUAUGUCAAAAAGAAAUAGAAAACUUAUUGGCAUUUUUCCACGAUGUUUUAACACUAAACAGUAGAUCAUAAAAGAAAAUAUUAAUGCUCAGAUGUAUUAAUAAAACUAAGUGGUUCCAGUAUGAAUUGACGUUUAGUUUCUGUCUGGAAUUAAAAGCAAUUCAAUGAGGCCCAACCUUAAGCAUUAAACUGGACUAUUCUCCAAAAUAAAAGCCUUCUGAGGCCCCUGACCCCCUUAAAAAAUGAUUAACACCAACAACAUCUCCAGGAUAUAUUUUAUCGAGAUAAUAAUAAUAAUAAUGGAUAAGAUUUAUAUAGCGCUUUUCAAGGCACUCAAAGCGCUUCACAAUGAAUCCAUUAUUCAUUCACUCACACAUUCUCACUCAGCGGUGGUAAACUACAUUUGUAGCCACAGCUGCCCUGGGGCAGACUGAAGGAAGCGUGGCUGACAAUCUGCGCCUACGGCCCCUCCAACCACCACCAACAUUCACACGCAUUCAUACUCCAGUGUGAGUAGCAGCACUGGAGGCCAGGUGGGUAAAGUGUCUUGCCCAAGGACACAACAGCACAUGACUAGGACAGAGAGGGAAUCGAAACGCCGACCUUUCGAUCAUUGGACGACCCGCUCUACCACCUGAGCCACAGCCGCCGAUAAAAGAACACUACAUUAAAACUGGUUAAAUCCUUAUUACUAUGUUUACUUUCUGACUUUAGAAAUAAAAAGUGUUCAAUACAAAAACAUUUAACACAAAACAGAAUUAAAAGAUAUAAAAAAACUUAAAAUGUGCAAAAUUCAACAUAUGUCAUGAAUUAAAGUCACGAUGUAGAUAAAAGCAGCAGUAAAAGAGGAUGACAGACAGAUAAAUCCAUCCAUCAGCACCGAACCCUUCAGCUAACCGGUGUAAAGUCUGGGUGUGGCAAGGCGGAAAGACAACUGGUGGAGCUGUUUUUCUGGAACGUGGUUGUCAUUAGAAAACCAUGAAUUAGCUUCACUUAAACUCCAGCAUUGUAGUCAUUUUCUGACAUUUCCAUCCCUUUUCUGGAUCUUCUGCAGCAAAACAUGAACCACAGUCCUUCAUAUUUACAGUAGGUCAGAUACAGAUGAUAGUGCAGCAGCAACAAAGCAAAAAACACAGAAUGCAUUAAACAAAACAACCAAAAAAGAUAGUUUUAUAAAUUAAAACUACCAAAACAACAACAAAAAAUACAGUUUUAUAAAUUAAAAACACCAAAAAAAAAAAAGUUUUUAAAUGAAACCCAUAUGUACCAGGACAGUUUGUCAUCUAGGACCUGAUUAGAGCCACAUCAACGUCCUCAUCCUCCACUUACUCAUUUCAAAGUCACGACUCUGAACUCUGACUCAUCUUCAGUCACCAGGAAACUAAAAGAUCAUCAUUAAAAGUGGAACUACAGCAGCCACCUGGUGGACAGCAGCCUUCACUACAACCCGAAUCACAAACAAUAAAAAUAAAACAUUUGUUGUGGAUGCUUUAAGCAUCAGCAGAGACCAUCAGGAGCUUUCUGAGGACUCCUCCAUCUCUUCUAGAAUGUGUAGCACUUACAUUCAGACUUCUACAGCCCGUUAGAUUACAACGUACAAUAAUAAAUAAUACUGUUAAUGACUCUACAUCUAAAACAGUGG